rnacentral:rRNA from 1 species
GGCACUACGGUGCUGAAGCAACAAAUGCCCUGCUUCCAGGAAAAGCCUCUAAGCAUCAGGUAACAUCAAAUCGUACCCCAAACCGACACAGGUGGUCAGGUAGAGAAUACCAAGGCGCUUGAGAGAACUCGGGUGAAGGAACUAGGCAAAAUGGUGCCGUAACUUCGGGAGAAGGCACGCUGAUAUGUAGGUGAAGUCCCUCGCGGAUGGAGCUGAAAUCAGUCGAAGAUACCAGCUGGCUGCAACUGUUUAUUAAAAACACAGCACUGUGCAAACACGAAAGUGGACGUAUACGGUGUGACGCCUGCCCGGUGCCGGAAGGUUAAUUGA